rnacentral:misc_RNA from 1 species
AGACCAUGCUCUACCAUCUAACCCAGAUCCUUGUUUGCCUUGGAUCAUCUUUCCAAUUUGCCUAUCCCUUAAUGGUGGAUGUUAGACUAUUCUACUCUAAUUAAUAUUUAAUUUAGAAAAGGAAAUUUAAAAACCAAAAAUCAAAGAAAGUUGAACCAAAAUUUAUUUCAAAUAACAUUAUGAGCUUCAAAAUUUGGUUUCCCCAUUAGAUCCCAGUUCAGCCAACUAAUUCCUCAGACAACUCCUCCACUAAUAAUCCAAAGAUUCCUAGUUCAAUCUUUAAUGCUGUCUCUCCUACCUGUUCUUGGUACCUUUUCCACCCGUUAACUUCUUCUCUUUUAAAAUCUUGCUCCACCAUCAUAUCAAUGGUGUUUGAUUCCACCUCUUUCCAUGAUUCAAACCUCUUGCAGACCCUUUUAACCAUUGCUUCUCUAUCAGCAAAGUAUUCCUGCUCUUGCUCUUCCUCGUUAAUGAGAUCAGAAACCAAUCUCUUCAUGUCUCUUGGGAUUUUUCUUAGACGACAGAAGCUUGUUUUUCUAAGUUCUUCGAUGAUAAACCUGUCAAUGUUCUGUUCCCCGUCGGAUAAAUCUAGCUCAUCAUCUUCGCCUUCCACUUCUUCCUCUUGAUCAUCAAUUUCUUCUUCUUGCUCCAGCAUUCUUUUCUCAAGUUCAACAGGGUCCAACUCUGCCAGUUUCUCGAAUCUACUUAGUUUUUGCAACAGCUGCUGCUUUGCUCUUCGUACAAUUUCAUAGCUGCAUUCAAUGUCAAAACCG